ensembl:lncRNA novel transcript
AUUAUUUUAUUAAGGCCAGCAGUUUUUACUUGAGUCUCUUAGAUCGUUCAGGUGUUCAAGCAUAUCAUCAUCAAGAAGAAGAGCUUGGCCAGGUGCCGUGGCUCACACAUAUAAUCCCAGCAGUUUGGGCAGCGGAUACAGGAGGAUCACUUGAGCCUAGGAGUUUGAGACCAAUCUGGGCAACAUAGUAAGACCCUCAUCUCUAUAAAAAAAUGUAAAAAUAAAAAAAGAAGGGGAAGCUCUGUAAUCCUUUUUUACCAAUGUUUACGCCAAUUAUUUCACUUUUAUUAUGUGCACAAGUGGGUGGCUACCUUCUCCUCUGUACCAUCUGUUAUUGGGGGCUGGGGGCUCCCGCCUUUCCCUGUGCUGUGGAAUAAGUGCAUUGGGUCAGACCUGUCUGUUCUCUGCAGGUAAGCAGAGCCCUGCUCUCCUCCUCCUCCCCACUGCCUUUGCUCAUGGCCUCGGCCGGGCCCUGCUGGAAACACCAGGUGCUCGCUCCCAGCAGAGGUUUGAACCUCUGUCCCUGCAAGCUUGGGGGUUGGGGUCCUGGCAGAUGAGGUACCAGGAGGCCCUUUGGGGGAGGCCCAGGCUCUUUGACUGAUGGUCUGCGGGUGUGAGCCCCCAAGUUCUAGGCCUGGGGGCCGAAAGGAAGAAGCUUCGAGGAAGAGUCAAGCAGGCCACCUUGGGCAUACGUGCUGUCACCCCGGGAUGCCCGCCCAGCGCGCCAAGCCCCCCACGCUCACCUGUAAGUGCAGGUGGUGCUGGAGGCCAGGCCGGGGCCCUGCAGGGGCAGGCACACAGUGGGGCUCCGUCGCCGCAGCGCCCCGGCGGCCUCCUCCUGGCCGCUGGCCCUCCCCUAAGGCUUCCUCAUCCUAAACAGCAAGUGAAGCCAAACGAAAACCCUGUCUCUCCCGCCGUUCCCUCCCUCCUGGCCUCCGUCCCCCGGGCUCGCCUGCCCCGCCGCCCGGCGGACCGGUCCCUUCCUGCUUUCCCUGGCGGGUGCUUUCCGCUGCUCUGUUACCCGGAGCCAGGACGCGCAUAUAUUCCCAGAAUCCGCGCUCAGUGCGUUCGGUCCCCCGGGACACCUGUUCUCUGCACAGGCGCGUCUGGGCGCAGCGGGGGCAGACACGCGUUCCCGGGCAGCGACUCCGGAAGGCCCGAGGGAGUAAAUCUGGCCCUCCCGGUUCAGCACAAAGCUCCCCUGGCCGCCUUUCAAAACCGACCGCCUCCCAACUCUCCGCGGACACGAGUGGCGGCUGCCUCCCCUCCCCUCCCCUAGGGCCGCGCACGCCUCCCGCAGGGUCUCAGUGCCUCCUGGGCGGGGGAUAAUUCCUGUCCCCACCGGUGUCCUGUACUCGCGGGGUCCCGGGUGUAAGUUCUGGGUCCCGGGCUGGCUCCCUGGUGAGCAAAGCCGCAUCGCUCGAAUUCCAGAAACCCUUCUCGCCGAGCGCCUGCCUGGCUGCUGAAAGCCUGGAGACUGCGCUCUCGGAGGUGGAUUUCGGAACUCAGGAGAGAAGAAUGAGACGCUCCCUAGUACCCCUAGUCCCCCAGGGGUGGGAGGGGACUGUAUCUCAAAAUAAGAUUCUGCAACUCGACUUUUAUAGGGGAAACCAGGCACGCAUUUCAAAAUCUUCUCAUCCGUCCCCACCUCCUUGCGCCGCUUUUCCGCGCCUCCUGUGCCACGGAAGCUGCCCUCUGCUCCUGCUGUUUCCAGCCCGGCAGCCCCCAGACAGGAUCUAGCUUGGCCCAGCCGGGCCCUGCUUCCUCUGCCUGGGGUCCUCAGGCCAUGCAAGUGAGGAAACCCAGGCUCAGAGGGGCCACGUAACUCUUCCCAAAUCACCAGCAAGCCUGGUGCAGCCACGGUGGCGCGCAUUCGCCCACUCGGAGACCGAGAGGCAGGUUUUCUGCCUGCACAGCCUCCCGCCCAAGGCCAGACCUGCUGGAGGCCCAGGCCCUGGAGAUGGCUGUCUUCAGGGAGACUCUUUAUGUCACGCUCAUUCACUCCCUAGCGCCUCUUUCUGGCAACGGAUGUGUCCAGCGUUCAGGUCUCUUAACUUACGGUCUCCGUUUUUCCAAGUUUGGAAAUCAGCUCAGAGCAGAGCGGGCAAAGAGGGGCUUUCACUGGUGCUCAGAGCUCACCUGCGAAGGAGGGACCACAGCCUCCGGGAUGCAGCGCCCUGGCUGCCUACUGCUGGCUGGCUGGCCCCUCCCCUGCAGAUUCCUCCUCACCCAGCCCCGCACAGGCUGAGGGCUUCACUAACCAGAACCAUAGUGUGACAAAUGCACACUGGGGGGUUACGGAGGAAGAGCAGAGUUGGGGUCAGAAGGCAUUUACCCUGAGAAAAAAGGGCACAUGGCACACAACCCAUGAAGGGAAGGGAGAGGAACAGCAUGUGCAAAAGCUCAGAGUUCAGAGUGGUGGCCUGGAGCUUAGCUGGAGUCAAAGGUGAUGGUGGGAGGUGAGGGUCUGGUGCAGGUGGUUCUCCCAAGCUGGGCUGAGCUGUAUGACUUGACCCUGAGGGGCAUGCGGGCCAGGCUGUGUUUUGUGGGGAGGCAGGAGCCAGGACACAGAUUGGGGGAAAGGGGUAAAGGAGCCUGGUCCCUGCGGCCGCCUGCUUACCUAGGACCUCAGGACUUGGGGAAUAAGUGGCCAUCCUUUGGAAUGCUCUCAAGGGAUCUCAGAUAAGGGGAGGCAGAAGAGUGUUCUGGAGAAAGCAGGGCCCAUCCUUCUCCACCCCACCACCCUCUCCCCAUGUCCCUGGAGCUGGCUCCUCUCCCACAAGCCAGGCCUGGCCAGCCCCUGGUAUCUCACCCUGCCAAAGAGCUAUGUAGUGGCAGUUCCACACCCUGUGCCCCUCCCCCACCCCACCCACAGUGAGGACCCCCUGGUGUUGGGGACACUCCGGGUCUGUGGGAUUUCUCCAGAAGCAGACUCAGACAGGGAUUGGCACCCACACUGAAAAGUUAACAUAGUCUAAAUAUGUGUGUCCCUCCCAAGUUCACAUGUGAUGGUGGUAUUAGGGGGUAGGGCCUUUGGGAGGUGAUUAGGUCAUGAGAGCACAGCCCUUAGGAAUGGCAAUAGUACCUUUAUAAAAAUGGCCCAAGAGAGAUCCCUCAUCCCUCCCACCAUGUGAGGACACAGUGAGAAGCCCCAUCUAUGGACCAGGAAGCAGCCCUCCCCAGACACUGCUGGGGCCUUGAUCUUGGACUCCACAGCCUCCAGAACAAUGAGAAUAAAUUUCUGUUGUUUGUAA